AUGGCUUAUCAUGUGUGGCAGCUUCAUGUUGACCGGAUUCAUAGGUGUUUGUCUGUGCUUUAUCAGCACAGAGAAUCUGGAGAGUGAAAUGACUGAAUUUUCUGAAGUGCACUUUGUGGAAGUCAGAAUCAAGGAUAGCUCAAAUAAUCAACGUCUGGGACAAAGUGUAUUCUGUUUGCAGCAUCAUCCCUGAUGUAUCUGCUGAGAGCCAUGAUGCAAACCAAUGAUAAUUUCACCUGUUUUCAAUUUAUUUUUUGUAGAAAUAUUUUCACAUUAAAUUAAUUGUUGCAUGUAAAUGACUUCAAGAGACAACCACAAAGAAGAAUACCUAGAUCUGAGAUGUCCAAACCAAGGCCCAUUGUCACGAUUCCCUUGUUGUCUGCCCUGUGUUUCACUAGUCUUUGUCUCAAACUCCUAUUCCCUUUGUAAAACUACACUUCCCAUGAUUCCCGGCCCUCAUCACUGCCAGCCCUGUGUCAUUGUGCUCACCUGAUCGUCGUUUGUCAUCAUCAUGUCUCCUGUGUAUUUAAACCCUGCUGUUUCUCCAUUUCCCUGUCGAUUGUUGAUGUAUGUGGAUGCUUGUUUCCGUGCUUUCUGUUCAUGUUUACCCCCGCCUGUUAACCCUUUGUAUGUCUUCUGUGGUUUUGUUUUAUUUCCCCAUUGUGGGUGUUUCCUUUGUUUUGUCUAUUUAGUUUUUCACCCUGUCAAAUAAAUCUAACUCUGCAAUUAGAUCCUCGCCCCUCGUCUGCCUUCCAGCUCAUCGUAACACCCAUAGGCAAAAGUUGGCCUGUGAUGACCUUUGAUUUGGCCAUUGAUGCAACACUUCACUGCACUAGUUAAGCAGAUUGCAGAGUAAUGUUUUUUUAUUAUGUUUAUCAUUAUUUAUAUUAUGAAAUCAUGAAGGAGGGGAACCAGGUCAACUUUUAUAUUUUAACAGUUUGAUAUAAUGCAAUGAUUACAACAAUAGAUAAUUAAUGGCAAAAUUGCAAACUUUGUUAUAACAUUCAGCACCGUUUCUUUUGUCUUUUCCUUUUGUGA